rnacentral:rRNA from 1 species
AUUGAACGCUGGCGGCAGGCCUAACACAUGCAAGUCGAACGGUAACAGGAAGCAGCUUGCUGCUUUGCUGACGAGUGGCGGACGGGUGAGUAAUGUCUGGGAAACUGCCUGAUGGAGGGGGAUAACUACUAGAAACGGUAGCUAAUACCGCAUAACGUCGCAAGACCAAAGAGGGGGACCUUCGGGCCUCUUGCCAUCGGAUGUGCCCAGAUGGGAUUAGCUAGUAGGUGGGGUAACGGCUCACCUAGGCGACGAUCCCUAGCUGGUCUGAGAGGAUGACCAGCCACACUGGAACUGAGACACGGUCCAGACUCCUACGGGAGGCAGCAGUGGGGAAUAUUGCACAAUGGGCGCAAGCCUGAUGCAGCCAUGCCGCGUGUAUGAAGACGGCCUUCGGGUUGUAAAGUACUUUCAGCGGGGAGGAAGGGAGUAAAGUUAAUACCUUUGCUCAUUGACGUUACCCGCAGAAGAAGCACCGGCUAACUCCGUG